AAUGGAAGGAAAGCACUAGAACUAAACUUAAGGUAUAACCCAACCCCAAGGCUAGUAGGCUCAAGCUAAGAGAGUGAAUGCUUUGACUAAAGUGCCAGAAGCUACAGCAAGAAUAAAGUUGGAACGCCACCACAAUGGAAACUUAGAAAACCACAUUAAAUAAUCAUUUGAAAAUGAGAAAAUGAGUUUACAUGGCAGAAGGAGUGCCAUUAAUCUUUAAGUGAAAGUUACCAAGAUGAUGAGAAAAGUUUGAUAUUAGAAUUCCCUAGUCAAAUCUGAGAAGGUGACUUAGGAC
rnacentral:lncRNA from 1 species